rnacentral:sRNA from 1 species
UCAUUGCGCAAGGGAUGGCAGCGGAUAGCCCACAGUCCCGAUUUUUUCGGGACGAGGACUACUAGCGAACAGCCCGGUCCUGC